CCCAGCCAUAACCUCUUCUGGACCCAAUCCUGACCCUGCCCACACCUCCCAUGUAACCCACUCUGACCCAGCCACCGCCUCAUGUCACUCACACAGGGUAGAGCAUGAGUCCAUGGCCAAUGUCCCAACCUCCUGGAAUCUCUCCAACUGUCAUGGAACCUCCCCCAACUCCAGCUGCAGGCUUGACUGAAGCCCUGAGGCCUGCCUCUGGGCAGCAGGGGAGACAAGAGGACAUAGAAGAAGGGCCAGAGGGAUUCAAACCGCAAAGGACCAAGCCGGAACCUGGGAGGGAGACCAACAGAUUUCCAGGUGGCCAUGGAGGUGUCUGGAAGGAGGAGCUGAAGCGGUUGGCAGGCUGUUUAGUGCAUCUGGGGACUGGCCUUGCCCACAUCCCCACAUGUCCCAGAGGCCCCAAUCUGGCCCCCAGAGCACCAAGCCAAGUUUCCUUCCAGCAGCAUCCAGUAAUACUCAAAAUGAGACUGAAGUCUCCCCACCAAUUACCUACAGGCCCCGGGUCAGUAUCCAAGGCUUUCAGCCCAUUACCAACAGUGACCAGGUCAGCAUCCAAGAGCCCUUGUCCAUUAUCCACAAUCACCAUGUCCAAGACCCUCCACUAGUCCACGGUUGCUGGGCCAGUACCCAAGACGCACCACCCAUUAUCAAUAGUGGCUGGAUCAGUACUGAGGACACGCCGUCCACCAUGAACAGUCAUCAGCUCAGUAUCCAAGACACAUCGUCAGUUACCUACAGUCACCGCUUCAGUACCCGAGAUGUUCCACCAAUUUCCCAAAAUCACCACUUCAGCAUCCAAAAUUCUCCAUUACUAUCUCAAGAGACCAAUAUAGAGUCUCUUAUCUACAGUGGUAGCCAAGUCAUUAGCCAAGACCAUCUUCCAACAAACCAGAGUCCCUGCUCAAGUACUCAAUGCCUCAUAUCGCCGAUCCAGGCCAAGGUUGAUGCCUCACCUUCAAUUACUCACAUCUCCACAGCCAGUAUCAAAAGCCUUGAUUCAACCAUCUGGACCUCCCAAGAGAGUUCCAAAGACACUAUGGACAGCUUCCUGGGCAACCCAAGUACUCUAGACAACAAUGUCCAGAGCAUACAGUCAAACAGAUCUGCAAAGAUGGAUUCUGGCAGGUGUCAGAGAAAGAGUACAUGCAGCCAAUCACAGCUGCCCCUGGGCUGGCGGCUGCUACACAGAGCCAAGAAGAUCAGCCAUCAGUGCCCUGACAUCUCCUGCCUCCAUGAGUACGACCAGAAUGCUUGUUUCCUUUCCUAUCUGAACUACAUGAACUUCUGGUCCAUCCUGGCGCUCCAGGCCACCUGAAUUUAGGACACAGGAACAACCCCACCUAUGGCCUGCUCCCACUGCUCCCUGUCAAGCACUUGACCGCCCUACUCUCUAGCUCCCCACCCCCACUGAGAGUUUUGCCCUUUUCAUUCCCCUCUCAAUCCCCUCACUCAGAUUAAUAAUCUGUAUAUUUAAAUAAUCUGUAGCUUUUGCCCAGAAUAUUCUCUUAAACUCAAUACCUUCUAAGUGUUCUGUGGAAAUGCCAUCUCUCACUGGGUCCAUCCCUUGGGCCCUCUGGGGUGGAGGGAUAGGUGACAGAAGGGAUUCAGAGGAACGAGGUGCAAGGCACAAGGUCAACAAAAGGCUGCGUCAGUGGUUGUUGGCAUACAUAUACAUGGUGUCAAUCAAUGUUUGUUGAAAAGCUGAUGCUCUCCAAGCCCUUAGGGCUUCAUUGUUUACUUCCCUGACCCCCAAUAAUGUGCCCCUCCUGAGGCAAAUUCUCCCUGCACUCACACGUCACCUCCUGCCCUUACCAGCAGCCCCUGUCAUCGCCUCUUCUUUCUUCUCCCCAAACUCCCCCAACACAGGGCUGUUCUUUUUUAAAAAUUGUCUGUCUAUCUAUCUAUCCAUCCAUCCAUCCAUUUUUCAGGCUGUUCCAUGUAGCAUAUUUUUGCUAUCAGAGUCAUUUGCUGAAUUGAAACUCAAUGUAUUGAAACUCAAAUACAAAUUUAUCUCAUUACCUGGGUCCCCCUACAGGCCCUUGACCUGGGGGUCCCUUCUAUCUCCCUUUCACACAGUGGUUAAGCUGGAAAGGUUAAGUCUAGGCUCUGUCACUUACUAUCUCUGUGACC
rnacentral:lncRNA from 1 species